rnacentral:tRNA from 1 species
GGGGCCGUAGCUCAGUAGGAUAGAGCAUCAGAUUCCUAAUCUGAUUGUCGUGCGUUCGAAUCGCACCGGUCCCA